GACGAGCGCUGGCGGCGUGCUUAACACAUGCAAGUCGAACGAUGAAGCCGGAGCUUGCUCUGGUGAAUUAGUGGCGAACGGGUGAGUAACACGUGAGUAACCUGCCCUUGACUCUGGGAUAACUGCUAGAAAUGGUAGCUAAUACCGGAUACGACCCUCGGAGGCAUCCCCAGGGGGUGGAAAGAAUUUCGGUAAAGGAUGGACUCGCGGCCUAUCAGCUAGUUGGUGAGGUAACGGCUCACCAAGGCGACGACGGGUAGCCGGCCUGAGAGGGAGACCGGCCAAACUGGGACUGGGACACGGCCCAGACUCCUACGGGAGGCAGCAGUGGGGAAUAUUGCACAAUGGGCGCAAGCCUGAUGCAGCAACGCCGCGUGAGGGAUGACGGCCUUCGGGUUGUAAACCUCUUUUAGUAGGGAAGAAGCGAAAGUGACGGUACCUGCAGAAAAAGCACCGGCUAACUACGUGCCAGCAGCCGCCGUAA
rnacentral:rRNA from 1 species